UACUGCUGUCUUUUUGGGAGUGGGACAGAAAUGAUAUUUUCGCAAAAUUUAUUUCGUCGUCCCACCCCAACUUGCACAUUAUUGUAAGCUGACUUUUCGUCAGCUUCUGUGUUGGGGCCCACACCCCAACUUGCAUUGCCUGUAGAAUUUCUUUUCGAAAUUCUCUGUGUUGGGGCCCCUGACUAUAAUUGAAAAAGCUUGUUACAAACGCAUUUUUGUUCAGUCAACUACUGCCAAUAUAACUUCGUAGAGCAUAGAACAUUGAUUUAU
rnacentral:ncRNA from 1 species